GACGAACGCUGGCGGCGUGGAUUAGGCAUGCAAGUCGGACGUAGGGCUUUAUCGUAAGAUAGAGUUUGAGAGUGGCGAACGGGUGAGUAACACGUAGGAAUCUACCCUUAAGACGGGGACAACCCAGGGAAACUUGGGCUAAUACCGGAUGAGAGUGCGAGAGAUUGCAUUUAAAAGGAUGGCGAAAGUUGUCGCUUAGGGAUGAGCCUGCGGUCUAUUAGUUAGUUGGUGAGGUAAGAGCUCACCAAGGCGAUGAUAGAUAGGCGGCCUUAACGGGUGGUCGCCCACACUGGGAUUGAGAUACGGCCCAGACUCCUACGGGAGGCAGCAGUGGGGAAUAUUGCACAAUGGGCGAAAGCCUGAUGCAGCAACGCCGCGUGAGGGACGACGGCCUUCGGGUUGUAAACCUCUUUUAGCAAGGAAGAAGCGAAAGUGACGGUACUUGCAGAAAAAGCGCCGGCUAACUACGUG
rnacentral:rRNA from 1 species